AACAUCGCGCACCUGCGGGAACCUGCGGAAGGAUCAUUAAUAAUUUAUCCAUCUUCUUUAUAUGGAUGAUUUAAAAAUCCAUAUUCACCUUGUGCUGUCUCCAUUGAAAUGUUUACUUUGGCAGUGCAGUCGUCUUAGCGACGAAAAGGUGUGAUGGGGGUCUCUCUCCAUCAUACCCUGCCUGCCAGAGUUUUUUUCUUAACACACACUUUAAUUAAACAAAAAACGACAUAGAAAUUA
rnacentral:misc_RNA from 1 species